UUCACCUUUAUUUAACCAGGCAGGCCAGUUGAGAACAACUGCGACCUGGCCCAGAAAAAGCAAAGCCGUGUGACAAAAACAACAGUUACACACAUAAACAAACAUAGUCAAUAACACAAAAGAAAAAUAGAAAAAUCUAUGUACAGUUUGUGCAAAUGUAGAAGAGUAGGGAGGUAAGGCAAUAAAUAGGCCCUAGAGGCGAAAAAAUAAUUACAAUUUAUCAUUAACACUGGAGUGAUAGAUAUGCAGAUGAUGAUGUGCAAGUAGGGGUGCAAGAGGGUAAGUAAUAAUAUGGGGAUGAGGUAGUCGGGUGUACUAUUUACAGAUUGGCUGUGUACAGGUACAGUGAUCGGUAAGCUGCUCUGACAGCUGAUGCUUAAUUGGAGAGGGAGAUAUAAGAUUCUAGCUUCAGAGAUUUUUGCUAUUUGUUCCAGUCAUUGGCAGCAGGGAACUGGAAGGAAAGGAGACCAAAUGAAAGCAUUGGCUUUGGGGACUAGCGUGCUACGGAUGGGUGUUGCUAUGGUGACCAGUGAGCUGAGAUAAGGCGGCACUUUACCUAGCAAAGACCUAUAGAUGACCUGGAGCCAGUGGGUUUGGCGACAGACAUGUAUCGAGGGCCAGCCAACGAGAGCAUACAGGUCGCAGUGGUGGGUGGUAUAUGGGGCUUUGGUGAUAAAACGGAUGGCACUAGGAUAAACUAAAUCCAGUUUGCUGAGUAGAGUGUUGUGGGCUAUUUUGUAAAUGACAUCGCCGAAGUCGAGGAUCGGUAGGAUAGUCAGUUCUACAAGGGUAUGUUUGGCAGCAUGCGUGAAGGAGGCUUUGUUGCGAAAUAGGAAGCCGAUUCUAGAUUUAAUUUUGGAUUGGAGAUGCUUAAUGUGAGUCUGGAAGGAGAGUUUACAGUCUAACCAGACACCUAGGUAUUUGUAGUUGUCCACAUAUUCUAGGUCAGAACCAUCCAGAGUCGUGAUGCUCGUCCGGAGGGAGGGUGCGGACAGCAAUCGGUUGAAGAGCAUGCACUUAGUUUUACUAGCAUUUAAAAGCAGUUGGAGGCCACGGAAGGAGUGUUGUUUGGAGUUGAAGCUCGUUUGGAGGUUUGUUAGCACAGUGUACAAAUAAGGGCCAGAUGUAUACAGAAUGGUGUCGUCUGCGUAGAGGUGGAUCAGAGAAUCACCAGCCGCAAGAGCGACAUCAUUGAUAUAUACAGAGGCCCUCCGAUUUGACACACUGAACACUAACUGAGAGGUGUUCCAGUUUACCUGGGCCUUGUUGAUUAGAAAGGCCUGCUCGCUGAAGUCUUUUAGGGAGCGUUUGACAGUGAUGAGGGGUGGUCGUUUGACCGCGGACCCAUUACACACGCAGGCAAUGAGGCAGUGAUCGCUGAGAUCCUGGUUGAAGACAGCAGAGAUGUAUUUAGAGGGCAAAUUGGUCAGGAUGAUAUCUAAGAGGGUGCCAUGGUUACAGAUUUAAGGUUGUACCUGGUGGGUUCCUUGAUAAUUUGUGAGAUUGAGGGCAUUUAUCUUAGAUUGUACCAAAAGGGAAAAAUACUGUAUAAAUAUAGGACAAACCACAUCACAACGAGACAGACACAACACAACAUAAUGCGAGACCUAACAUAAGGCAGCAAAACAUGACAACACAGCAUGGUAGCAAAACAACAUGGUAGCAGCAGAAAAACAUGGUACAAACAUUAUUGGACAAAGUCAACCGCAGAGGUCAAGAAGGUAGAGACAACAAUACAACUGUCAGUAAGAGUGUCCAUGAUUGAGUCUUUGAAUGAAGAGAUUGAGAUAAAACGUUGAGGGACUAGGGGUUGAUUUUGGGAUUCAGAUUAUAAAUACCUUGCACAUGCUGGAAUAAAUGUAUCGGUGUAUCAAAUAUACAUAUAUUUUCCAUAUGCUGAUUGAUUUGUCUCGGAUGGAUGAUACAAUUAUUUGUUUUCAGCUGCCCCAUGUUCUUAAGUACUUACGGUAACUAACUGUUUCUGAUUGUGUCACAUUCGUUCUUAUUUUACGAACUAUGGUUUGUUCUGCGCUGCCAGAGGCCCUCGACAUGACGAAGUUACAGUUUGUCAAUGUAUAUUUGACCGAACGGUUAAUGUCAGCUGCCCAAUAGAUAUGAGACCAUAUUAAAAUAAAAGGAGGAAAUACUGUAAUACAGGGAAAGAGCGAAUGAUCAAUUGAGACGCAAACUGCACAGAAAUGGGAUUCCAUUGCCAGACCGAGAGUCCUCUGCUCUUAUAGAGGAGGGAGCCAUUGGGUUGAAGCAGGAACCAGAACCAAGGCAGACUAUGGUGAAACAGGAGGGAAGGACCAGGAAGGAGGAAAAGCAACUUAGAGGACUAGACUCUGUCUAGAUGUCUCUCCUUACAAUGGAAAUGAUGGCUAUGAUCAGAACACACCUCAUUCAGUCAGUUCCAAACUCACACCGGGGAGAGUAGAGAGGGAGGCUCUCUGUCCAGCUCAUCAACAUCCAAACCAAUCAAAACAGAGACUGAAGGACUGGGUGUUUGUCCAUUUGAUCCGUCAAGUGACCCCAGUACAUUCUCUUUCGUCAGUGAACCUUGACCUUUCGGCAGCACAGAAUGAGAACAGUGUAAGUAUGAUGGGGGUGGAAGGUGGUGAAGGACUACUGUCAGGGUUUGAGGCGCUACAGAUACCACUACACAUGGAACAGUCCCUUCAAAAUCACCACAACACAGCAUUGUGUUGCAAGGUCAGUGGGAAACCCUGUAGACAUAUGGGCCAUUUAAACGCACACAUGCAAAUGCACAUGAAAGAGAAGCCAUUACUCUGCGGGGUUUGUGAUAAGUGCUUUAGCUCGCCGGGGAGGUUGAAAGGGCGUUAGCGGAUUCACACAGGGGAGAAGCUUUAUCAGUGCCAUAUCUGUAGGAAACGGUGCAAUCAGACCGCACACCUGAAAGUGCAUCCGAGUGUCCACACAGGAGAAAAACUGUUCAGUUGUCCUGUGUGUGGCAAGUGCUUCAGCCACUCCGACAAAAUUAAACGUCACCUCCAGACCCAAAGCCGUGAAGGCACCUAGGCUUGUGAUUUUUCUCUCUCUUUCUCUCAAAGAGCUAGGGAUUCUGCGACUUUCUUAGAGAAUGUUCUCUGAGUAACACUUCUCCAUGCCAUAGUCUCUCUCUCUCAUGCAAUAGGUUUUGUAUUGCAUUAUAGUCAAUUUAGUGUGUUUCUUUUUGUACAUGUCACUGAAUGGAGUUUUUGAGAAUCUUUAAAAACACAACAUUUUAUGAGUUAGUUGCUAGUCUUUCUGAAUUAUACUGAACAAAAAUAUGGUGUGGCAUAUCAAGAAGCGUAUUAAAGAGCAAGGUUCAUUAGACAGGUGCACCUUGUGCUGGGGACAAUAAAAGGCCUCUGUAAAAUGGGCAGUUUUGUCACACCUGUCAGCUGGAUGGAUUUUCUUGGCAACGGAGAAAUGCUCACUAAUGCAGUUGCUUCACAAAUUUGUGCUCAAAAUUUUUGAGAAAUUAGAGAAAUUGUGCGAAUGGAAACAUGGGACCAACACAUGUUGCGUUUAUAUUUUUGUUCGGGAUAACUGUGUUGCUUGUUUGCGAGGGUUGGUCCUGAGCUAGGCUCUGCUGCACAUACAGGUAACUGCUAAAAUAAUGAAAGACGGCGCCGACAGACAUGGCAGCUCUGCUUCUAGAUCCUAAGCAACUUUGCGAUAUUACAGCACUGUUGGAGCUAGGAACACAACCAUUUCACUACAUCCGCAAUAACAUCUGCUAAACAUGUGUAUGUGACCAAUAAAAUUUGAUUCAAUUUAAUGGAAAUACUUCAGUAAAUGAGCAAUACGAAGUAUAUUGAAAGCAGGUGCUUCCACACAGGUGUGGUUCCUGAGUUAAUUACCCAAUUAACAUCCAAUCAUGCUUAGGGUCAUGUGAAAAAUGCUGGGCAGGCCAUUAUUUUGGCUACCAUGGCAAUGCCCCCACCCACAGAGCAUGAGUGUUCAGUGAAUGGUUUGAUGAGCAUGAAAACAAUGUAAACCAUUUGCCAUGGCUGUCUAAGUCACCAGAUCUCAACCCAAUUGAACACUUAUGGGAGAUUCUGGAAGCAGCGCCUGAGACAGCAUUUUCCACCACCAUCGACAAAACACCAUAUUAUGGAUUUUCUUGUGGAAGUAUGGUGUUGCAUCCCUCCAAUAGAGUUCCAGACACUUGUAACAUCUAUGCCGAUGUGCAUUGAAGUUGUGGUGGCUCGUGGUGGCUCGUGGUGGCUCGUGGUGGCUCGUGGUGGCUCGUGGUGGCUCGUGGUGGCUCGUGAUGGCUCGUGGUGGCUCGUGGUGGCUCGUGGUGGCUCGUGGUGGCUCGUGGUGGCUCGUGGUGGCUCGUGGUGGUCCAACGCCCUAUUAACACAUUUUAUGUUGGUGUUUCCUUUCAUUUUGCAGUUACCUGUAUAUUCACUAUAGCAAAGAUCUGUGGCCCAUUGUUUGGAAGUGAAACAGAUAUUUUUGUCAGACCCAGAUCAAUGCUUCUCCUGGAAUUAAAAGCACUUUAGAUGCUGUGUAUAUAUAUAUAUAUAUAUGGUCCUCGUAUUAAACAUGUCAUCUCCAGUAGUUCACUGUGAACAGUAAUGAGUUAGAAUGGUUUACACAAAUCUUUAGUUUAAUAAGUUGCAUAACACCUACAUCACUUUUCAGGUGCUAUCCCAUUCUGCCUUGGUGACCAUGACUUAGGCACUUCGCCUCUUAACUGCCACAAGGGCAAGGCUGACCCUGUUAUACUACAAGCCUUUUCUGGGUUUGGUGUUUCAUAGAGUUGGCUAGGUUGACAACAAAAAACAUGUUUCAGUUAUACAAUAAGACUUUUAUUUUGAAAUAAAAUGUUGCGUGUGUGUGUGUGUGUGUGUGUGUGUGUGUGUGUGUGUGUGUGUGUGUGUGUGUGUGUGUGUGUGUGUGUGUGUGUGUGUGUGUGUGUGUGUGUGUGUGUGUGUGUGUGUGUGUGUGUGUUGUCACAUGCCUGUGUGUUCCUGUGAGUGCGUGUGUGUUUGUAAUGCAGGUUGAGUCUGAAUGUGUGGGUCCUGGGUAUAUAUACCAACCAGUAUGUGUGCUUUUGGCAACACCAAAGGAAGUAUACAUUUCCAUUGAUAACACCAUUAUGACAUCAUUCAUAAUCCCCUUCAUUAAUGUUUCAGUAUCAGUCAUCAUAAAAUCAUACCAGAUUAAACAUCAAUCAUAUAUAAUCUUCAAAAGCAAAACGUUAUUAUCAAUUAUUUUAUAGUAGAACUAUCUGGAUGAAUUGAGCUUGGGUGGUUGCUGGGUUAGUUCUGCACAGCACAAGACUUUGAUAGCCUCUGCGGAGCUGAAGCCAAGGUUCUAGAUUGUGGAGCUAAUGCCAGUCUUCAGGUUUCAGACAAGUUGACUCAACAUGUUAAAAUGACACCCAUUGCACAGGUGCCAGCCAGAUCUGUCAUCCAGAUUUGAAAUUGUUCAAAAUACUUUGAGCGUUUGCUUGAGCCUUUUUUCUUUCUUCUUUGAACUAUUCCAUGUCCAUCAAAGUACGGGAAAUAACACACGAAGACAUUGAUCUUGGAUAUUACAUGAUUGCAUGAUUACAUAAAAACAGGUGUAGACUAACAGUGAAAUGGUUACUUAUGUUCAGUCCCGUCCCAAAAUUGCAAAGAAAAAAAAUAAUAAUAAUAGAAAAAUAAUAACACAAGGAACAAAUCCACAAUGCCAAUAACUUGGCUAAAUACACAAUAUUUGCACGUUAUUCUUUUUAAAAUUCUUCAAGCUCUGUCAAGUUGGUUGUUUUGAAGUCUUGCCAUAGAUUUUCAAUCAGAUUUAAGUCAAUUGUAACUAGGCCACUCAGGAAGAUUUACGGUCUUCUUAGUAAGCAACUCCAGUGUUGAUUUGGCCUUGUUUUAAGUUAUUGUCCUGCUGAAACGUGAAUUUGUCUCCCAGUGCCUGGUGGAAAGCAGACUGAACCAGGUUAACCUCAAGGAUUUUGCCUGUGCUUAGCUUCAUUCCAUUUAUUUUUGUCCUAAACUCCCUACUACUUGCUGAAGACAAGCAUACCCAUAACAUGAUGCAGCCACCACCAUGCUUAUAAAUCUGAAGAGUGGUACUCAGUGAUGUUGUGUUAGACCUGCCGCAAAUGUAACGCUUCAGGACAUAAAGUGAAUUUCUUAGCCACAUUUUUAAAAGUUUUACUUUAGUGUCUUAUAGCAAACAAGAUGCAUGUUUUGGAAUAUUUUUUAUUCUGUACAGGCUUCCUUCUUUUCAAUCUGUCAUUUAGGUUAGUAUUGUGGAGUAACUACAAUGUUGUUGAUCCAUCCUCAGUUUUCUCCUAUCACAGCCAUUAAACUCGGUGACAGUUUUAAAGUCACCACUGGCCUCA